rnacentral:rRNA from 1 species
GAUCAUGCUCAGGAUGAACGCUAGCUACAGGCUUAACACAUGCAAGUCGAGGGGAAACGACAUCGAAAGCUUGCUUUUGAUGGGCGUCGGCUGGCGCACGGGUGAGUAACGCGUAUCCAACCUGCCCAUCACUUGGGAAUAACCUUGCGAAAGUAAGACUAAUACCCAAUGAUAUCCCACGAAGGCAUCCGAAUGGGAUUAAAGAUUUAUCGGUGAUGGAUGGGGAUGCGU